CUGAACGGGAGGUGGGACAAAGCAAAUGCCUGGACUUCUUCAGCCUGCUACUAUUCUCUGGGCACCCAAGCUCUCCAUCCACCUUGUUUUUCUCGAUGUUGUGGGCACCAAACCAUCCUAGCUGUCACUCAUGACUGCAUUGGGGCAUCAGCUCUGACCUCUCUUACAUAUAGGUUACACUAAUCACCAGAGGGGAAGGAAACAACUCCAGAGCAGAUUGAAUUACCGUUUAAUUGGGCAUCCUGUGAAAUAAAUGUUGUAACUUGGAUAAGAUUAAAAUGCAUUUCUUUUUGGAUGUAAGCAGCGACAAGGUGCAACGGUGGCAGGCACAAAUGUCACAUUGGAGCCCAGCAAUAGAAGCAUCUUCCCAAGAUCAGUUCCCAGCAGCUCUUAAACUGUUGCCUGACAAUCCCAGAUCAAACCUAUGCUGUUUCUGAACGGCUGCUAUCCCAACACAAUUGCAGCACAAGGGAUAACACAAUUGGGCAGGUUUUCAUAAAGGAUGUGGUGAGUGAACUUUUAAAAAUACUGAUCAUUUGGAGAAAAUUUCAGAAGACUAAAUUACUUUGGUAAAUGGAUGGGUUAUAAAUAAUAAGUACAUGGAAAUUGGUAGAGACUUUCAGUUGCAUCACAAAAAUGUCAUGAAGUAAUACUGACUAUUUCAGCUACUUUAACCUAGCCUUGGGCAUAGAAGAGUCCAAUUCUGAUCAUUUGCAGGAUAAGCAAGCAAAUUGAGGGGUAAUGAGACUCAAGCCAAGAUGUUACUCUGGAUUUACACCACUGCUGAUAGAGGCAGAUGCUAUCUCCUAGUCUACGCAUCCUCUGAGAAUAAAAUUAAUUUUGAAUUCUCGUAUCAUCUGCUUGCUUGUGCACUUAUUUGCUAACUGUCUGAGUGAGUGAGCUAUUCUGGGUCAGUAUGAUUUAGGCAUCCUUUAUUACACAGUUUCCAAUUCAGUACAUUUUUUAAUCAAGC